GACGAACGCUGGCGGCGUGCUUAAUACAUGCAAGUCGAACGAUGUGGCGAACGGGUGAGUAACGUGUAAUCAACUCGCCAUUCAGAGGGGGACAACAGGUGGACACGACUGCUAAUACCGUAUACUGAAGGAGGGGAGUGCGUUGGAUUGGCUAUGUGGAGGGGUAACGGCCCACCACGGCGAUGAUCCGUAACGGGUCUGAGAGGAUGAUCGGUCACACUGGAACUGAGACACGGUCCAGACUCCUACGGGAGGCAGCAGUGGGGAAUAUUGGACAAUGGGCGAAAGCCUGAUCCAGCCAUGCCGCGUGUGUGAAGAAGGUCUUCGGAUUGUAAAGCACUUUAAGUUGGGAGGCGUUACCAACAGAAUAAGCACCGGCUAACUUCGUGCCAGCAGCCGCGGUAAUUC
rnacentral:rRNA from 1 species